UACGGAGGGUGCAAGCGUUGUCCGGAUUUAUUGGGUUUAAAGGGUGCGUAGGCGGCCCCUGUAAGUCAGUGGUGAAAUACUGCAGCUUAACUGUAGCAUUGCCAUUGAUACUGCAGGGCUUGAGUACAGAUGAGGUAGGCGGAAUUGAUGGUGUAGCGGUGAAAUGCAUAGAUACCAUCAAGAACACCGAUUGCGAAGGCAGCUUACUAGCUGUAACUGACGCUGAGGCAGCGAAAAGCGUGGGGAUCGAACAGG
rnacentral:rRNA from 1 species